rnacentral:rRNA from 1 species
UGGGGAAUUUUGGACAAUGGGCGCAAGCCUGAUCCAGCCAUGCCGCGUGCAGGAUGAAGGCCUUCGGGUUGUAAACUGCUUUUGUACGGAACGAAAAGGUGCCUUCUAAUAAAGGGCGCUCAUGACGGUACCGUAAGAAUAAGCACCGGCUAACUACGUGCCAGCAGCCGCGGUAAUACGUAGGGUGCGAGCGUUAAUCGGAAUUACUGGGCGUAAAGCGUGCGCAGGCGGUUUUGUAAGACAGAGGUGAAAUCCCCGGGCUCAACCUGGGAACUGCCUGUGUGACUGCAAGGCUGGAGUGCGGCAGAGGGGGAUGGAAUUCCGCGUGUAGCAGUGAAAUGCGUAGAUAUGCGGAGGAACACCGAUGGCGAAGGCAAUCCCCUGGGCCUGCACUGACGCUCAUGCACGAAAGCGUGGGGAGCAAACA